rnacentral:lncRNA from 1 species
GUGCAGGCUGAGCCACUGCCUGAGCCGCUGCUCCACGUCCUGGGCCUUAGCUUCCCGCUGCAGACCUGCCGGCCGAUUCUUCGCUGCCCUCCCGGUCUCAUGAAGCCGCUGGUCGUGUUUGUCCACGGCGGUCCCGGCGCGCUGGCAUCCUUGAGAAAGAUGGCUACACACACCUUUCUGCAGGAGAGUUACUUCAUGAUGAAAGGAAGAGCCCAGAUUCACAGUAUGGUGAACUCACUGAAAAUUACAUUAAAGAAGGAAACAUGGGACCAGUGGAGAUAACCAUCAGUUUAUUAAAGAGGGAAAUGGAUCAGACAAUGGCUGUCAGUGCUCAAAAGAGUACAUCUUUGAUCGAUGGAUGGGUUUCCAAGAAAUCAAGACAACCUUCAAGGUUGGAACGUGUGGUUUUUUAACUGUAAUAAUAAGAUCUGUAUUGAAUGAUGUCCUGAGAGAGGAAAGAGUAGCGGUAGGAGUGAUGACAACAGAGAGAGCUUGAGAAAGAGAAUUGAGACCCAUCUUCAGUCAACAAAGCCAAUUAUUGACUUAUAUAAAGAAAUGGGGGAAAGUCAAGAAAAUAAAUGUUUCCCAAUCUGUUGAUUAAGUUUUUGAAGUUGUGAAGAUUUUUGAC